rnacentral:rRNA from 1 species
UACAGAGGGGGCAAGCGUUGUUCGGAAUUACUGGGCGUAAAGGGCGCGUAGGCGGCCUGCUAAGUCGAACGUGAAAUCCCCGGGCUCAACCCGGGAACUGCGUCCGAUACUGGUGGGCUUGAAUCCGGGAGAGGGAUGUGGAAUUCCAGGUGUAGCGGUGAAAUGCGUAGAUAUUGGGAGGAACACCAGUGGCGAAGGCGGCUCACUGGACCGGAACUGACGCUGAGGCGCGAAAGCCAGGGGAGCGAACGGG